rnacentral:rRNA from 1 species
UUCCAGGGAGUACCACAGAAGAGCACCGGCUAACUCCGUGCCAGCAGCCGCGGUAAUACGGAGGGUGCGAGCGUUAAUCGGAAUUACUGGGCGUAAAGGGUGCGUAGGUGGUUGAUUAAGUUAUCUGUGAAAUUCCUGGGCUUAACCUGGGACGGUCAGAUAAUACUGGUUGACUCGAGUAUGGGAGAGGGUAGUGGAAUUUCCGGUGUAGCGGUGAAAUGCGUAGAGAUCGGAAGGAACACCAGUGGCGAAGGCGGCUACCUGGCCUAAUACUGACACUGAGGCACGAAAGCGUGGGGAGCAAACAGGAUUAGAUACCCUGGUAGUCCACGCUGUAAACGAUGUCAACUAGCUGUUGGUUAUAUGAAAAUAAUUAGUGGCGCAGCAAACGCGAUAAGUUGACAUCGUUUACGG